rnacentral:rRNA from 1 species
ACGGAGGGUGCAAGCGUUAUCCGGAUUUAUUGGGUUUAAAGGGUCCGUAGGCGGAUCUGUAAGUCAGUGGUGAAAUCUCACAGCUUAACUGUGAAACUGCCAUUGAUACUGCAGGUCUUGAGUAAAUUUGAAGUGGCUGGAAUAAGUAGUGUAGCGGUGAAAUGCAUAGAUAUUACUUAGAACACCAAUUGCGAAGGCAGGUCACUAAGAUUUAACUGACGCUGAUGGACGAAAGCGUGGGGAGCGAACAGGAUUAGAUACCCUGGUAGUCCACGCCGUAAACGAUGCUAACUCGUUUUUGGGGUUUCGGCUUCAGAGACUAAGCGAAAGUGAUAAGUUAGCCACCUGGGGAGUACGUUCGCAAGAAUG